rnacentral:rRNA from 1 species
AUGGCCGCUGUAGUAUAUGAUGACGACGUCGAUCGGUUUGAUCCUUUGCUCGUAGAGGGGCGGGUAUAUUAUGUGUGGAAGAUGCUUGCAGAACCAAUUAUGAGGAAUCAGGAUUAUUUGGCAGAUAGUCAAUUUGUGUGCCGUUUCAGCUUAGUGACAACAAUUAAUGAGUUGAGAAAUGUGAAUGAGCGCUUGAUCCCAUUGUUCCCUGCGUUUAUUCCUUUUGACAGAGUUUGGGAGUUCACCCUAGAUAAUGAUACAUAUGUUGAUGUUAUUGGCAUGGUUUUAUUUGUAAGUUCUAUGGGAUAUAAAGACGAUUUCUACAAUCGGAGGAUCCCAGUGAGAAAUAUUGUUCUGCUAGAUGACACGUAUGUGUAUCUUAUGAUUUUGAGUUAUCUAAAUGAUUCAAAGUUCUUACAUUUCUCUUCUAUAUUAAUUGAUUUUGUAGCUAUAAUAUUGUCAAGUUAG